UAAAAAUGGUUGACCAAGCAAGCAAAUUAGGCUCAAUUCACCAUGAGUUAAGUCAACUCGACUGAGGCUUGUCCAACUUAGGACUAAGCCACACCUACAAACGAUUUUCCUAGUGAAUUGGCUUGAAAUCUUGUUGAGUUAUUGUUAGAACUUUGACUCUCAUGGCUUCUGCUAUGAAAAGCAAAAUUUCAAUAGGCUCGAAUAGCUUAAAAUUCGGGUCUAAAGCAUUUCUGGGUCUGUUUGCAGCCCCUUCUUAUAUUGCAUACUUCCUAAUGGUUUUUCUCUAUAGGAUGGUUCUGUGAUAUUUUCCUCUUGCUUAUUUUUAAUCUCUGUGGUUUUACUCAGGCUAUCUUUCCUAUUUGAUUCUUUAGUGUACAUAUUCUAAGUACUGCUAUGCUGAAAUUUUGUAUAAGUUGUGCUGAGUUUUGGGUGUAAUUCUUAAUAAUUUAACCACAUUUAAACUCAAGUGAAUGAUUUUUUUGCAUUGUGUUUUUUAUUUUUUUUAGUAAAUUAGUUCAAGAAUCAGUUACAAAAUGAAGAAGGCAAGGUAGUAACUCCCAACUAUGUUCUUAUUUAUGAAUACAAUGAAGGAGAUUGAAUUCUUGUCGGCAAUGUGCCAUGGGAGUAUAAGAUUUGAUUGUAAGAACUCCUGGCCAGAAAUAGAGAAUACCUUCGUGGGCAGCCACCUCAGGCUAGUAUGUCGUACCGCGCCUUGUGUUAUAAUUAAGGUCUUUUGCAUGGGAACUUCUUCUCUAGUUUUAUUGUAGGUAAGAUCACCUUUCUUGAUAUUUUGCAUUUUUUCUGGCAACUCUGAUAAGGUUCAUUAUGUAUUUUGCAUUUUUUCUAGCAGCUCACAUGUUCUUGGUUGAUGAGACUAGAUAGCAGAAAAUUAUAAGUAGGAGAUUUGCAGGAAAGCUUUAAAGUCUAAAGAUUAAAAACUAACAAAAUUAAGGCAGAGAAUGGAUUAUGAAAGAAUACUAGAAGGAAAGCUCUCUUUACAAAUAUCAUGUGGAGAAACUUACUUGUUCAGGCAUGUAUCUAUUUUCUCUUAUACCUUAUGAAAACCUAAGAGAAUUAAAUGAAUGUAAUUAUAUUAAAAUUAGAGAUUGAUUGAGA